rnacentral:rRNA from 1 species
UACGAAGGGUGCAAGCGUUACUCGGAAUUACUGGGCGUAAAGCGUGCGUAGGUGGUUGUUUAAGUCUGUUGUGAAAGCCCUGGGCUCAACCUGGGAAUUGCAGUGGAUACUGGGCGACUAGAGUGUGGUAGAGGGUAGUGGAAUUCCCGGUGUAGCAGUGAAAUGCGUAGAGAUCGGGAGGAACAUCCAUGGCGAAGGCAGCUACCUGGACCAACACUGACACUGAGGCACGAAAGCGUGGGGAGCGAUCCGG